rnacentral:misc_RNA from 1 species
GGAAGGAUCAUUAACAAAUCCAGUGGUUUGGCUCUUGUAUUGUGCCUAAUAAUUGCUGUGACCACAACAUAGCAUAACUAUAAAUAACUAUGUUGCGGCUGCAGCGAAUGUUGCACGUGCAGAUCCACGCACCAUAAGCCCCGCAUGCGCAAGCAUGUGUGACGCACAUUUUAUCGUCUGUCUGAACAGUUCAAUCUCUAAACAAACUUUUAACAACGGAUCUCUAGGCUCUUGCAUCGAUGAAGAACGCAGUGAAGUGCGAAAAGUAAUGCGAUUUGCAUGCUCUGUGAGUCAUCGAAUCUUUGAACGCAUAUGGCACCUUGCAGCUUGCUGGAAGGUAUGCCUGUUUGAGAAUCAUACACAACUGUCCUCUGUUGGGCCUUCACCAGUGAUCGCCUGCAAGCGCACAGUCGUUGUGUCAGUGACGCAAGUCUACCGCAUCGACUCUAAAAUCACCAUGAUCUCAAAUCAGGCAAGACUACCCGCUGAACUUAAGCAUAUCAGUAAGCGGAGGAAAAGAAACUAACAAGGAUUCCCUCAGUAACGGCGAGUGAAGCGGGAACAGCUCAAAUUUUAAAUCUGGCAGCAUCGCUGUCCGAGUUGUAGUUUCAAGACGCGCGUCCUGGCUGGAUGCGCCGGCGUACAAGUCUCCUGGAAUGGGGCAUCGCAGAGGGUGAGAAUCCCGUCUGGACGCUGGCGCGCUGGUCGCCGACGUGCGUCAAAGAGUCGAGUUGUUUGGGAAUGCAGCUCAAAAUGGGUGGUAAAUUUCAUCUAAGGCUAAAUACUGGCAAGAGACCGAUAGCGAACAAGUACCGUGAGGGAAAGAUGAAAAGCACCUUGAAAAGGGAGUUAAAUAGUGCGUGAAAUUGUUAAAAGGGAAACGAGUGGCGCCAGUAUUGCCGCAAGGCAAGCCAGCGACAGCUCUGGGCGCCGAAUAGGCUUGGCGGAAAGGUGGCGCAGCCUCGGCUGCGUUUUACAGUCCGCCUGUGCUGCGGCGCGCGGGGCCGUGGGGGCCGUCGUACCCUGUCGGGCGCAGCGGGCAAAGCGCGGUCAGACAGCACGCUGACUGACCGUGUUCAGCCCAAUCGUGCCCGGCAGCAGGCGGCAGGCUGGCGAGAUGGCGCCAAACGACCCGUCUUGAAACACGGACCAAGGAGUCUAACGUAUAUGCGAGUAUUUGAGUGGCAAACUCGGAUGCGCAACGAAAGUAAGCGGUGGGAGGUCAGUCCGCACCACCGGCCGAUCUUGAUUUCUUAUGAUAGAUUCGAGUCAGAGCAUAUCUGUUGGGACCCGAAAGAUGGUGAACUAUGCCUGAAUAGGGUGAAGCCAGAGGAAACUCUGGUGGAAGCUCGCAGCCGUUCUGACGUGCAAAUCGAUGGUCAAAUUUGGGUAUAGGGGCGAAAGACUAAUCGAACCAUCUAGUAGCUGGUUCCCUC